GUGGGGAAUCUUCCGCAAUGGGCGAAAGCCUGACGGAGCAACGCCGCGUGAACGAGGAAGGUCCUCGGAUCGUAAAGUUCUGUUGCAGGGGACGAACGGCACUAUAGCCAAUAAGUAUAGUGAAUGACGGUACCCUGUUAGAAAGCCACGGCUAACUACGUGCCAGCAGCCGCGGUAAUACGUAGGCGGCAAGCGUUGUCCGGAAUCAUUGGGCGUAAAGGGAGCGCAGGCGGAACAUUAAGCGGAUCUUAAAAGUGCGGGGCUCAACCCCGUGAUGGGGGCCGAACUGAGGUUCUUGAGUGCAGGAGAGGAAAGCGGAAUUCCCAGUGUAGCGGUGAAAUGCGUAGAUAUUGGGAAGAACACCAGUGGCGAAGGCGGCUUUCUGGACUGUAACUGACGCUGAGACUCGAAAGCCAGGGUAGCGAACGGGAUUAGAUACCCCAGUAGUCC
rnacentral:rRNA from 1 species